GCAGGAUUCAGUUACAUUAACAGAUAAUUUUAGGAAGAAAUGACAUUUUUAUGUUUAAUAUGCCUCUUCUUGAUGAGGAAUUUCCUCUGUUUUUUCCAUUUUGUCUUAUUUCACGUAACUUAGUUGUAAUUUUUUCUUCAUAUAGAUCCCGUGUGUUUCUAGUUACGUUUGCUUAGUUAUUUUGGAAUUUUUUAGUAUCGUAUAAAUAGGUUCUGUUCUUCCUUUUCGCAUCCUUGCUGGCUUUGUUGGUUUCUAGGAAAGCAGCUGAUUAUUGUCACUGAUUUGGUGGCCAGGCCCCUGGGUGGGCAGACGAGCCGAGCCCUUCCGGCUGGGCCAGUGCAGGCCCUGCCCCGUGGCUGCGGGGUUUCCCACUCCCUGAGGAGGACGGUGCCUGGCUGGGGGGUGUGCGUGCUUCAGAUGAAAGGAGAGUGUUUGAAGGGAGGGGAGCAGGAGGCGACUGCUUAUCUUCUGACUCUUACACCGGCUCUCUCUCUCGUAUUAGGAAAAGCAGCACAGGAAGUGGCUGAAGCGAACGGGCUGUUCCCCGCCGGGGUUCCCACUUGGACCAGCGGCAGGAGGCCUCAGUGUGGUCACACAGCCAGGGGAGUGGAUGGACAAGAGCCAUACCCAGCACGUGGAUGACUCUCACGCACGUCGAGUGAAAGAAACCAGACACCGGCUCACGUGUUGUACGAUUCCGCCCUCUUCUGGCAGCGUGACAAGGUCGCAGGAAAUUGCAGGCCAAGUCUGGAAUACCAACGACACGACGGCCGUGGCCAUCGAAGACGGAAAUCAAAAUGAGGACAUCUCUCUGAGGCUGGCCCAACGGCAGGCCCAUUUCUUUUCCUUGAAAAGUCCCAAAAGAUUAUUUUUAGCAUCUGAAACUCAUCUUUCCCCUCCUAAAUAUGAACUUUAUGUUGCAAGAAAACGAGAGCGUGUGUGCCUUCCCCCAGAGAACCCAAGCUCUGCUGAAGUCACAAAGAAACGCUGUGGCCUCAUCCAGCAGGAAAGUAAGACUCCCCCUCACACUUCAAGUGGCUUGAAAUUCCCUUCUGGCGAGUAAGCGUUGUAGUGGUUUGGCCCCAUCACAGACUCCAGCCCCACAACUGACUGAGUCGAAUGCCCCUCUGUCUCAAGGUAGGAAGACCCCGCGCUUUGGUCUGCCGGGACCCGCGCCCCGGGCAGUGGGUCCACGACAGUCUACGCCUCCUCCCGUUGGAGGCAGAGCAGGAGCGCCCCAUCCAUCAUAUUCCCCGAGGACCGAGACGAGCUUUGGUUGACAGGGAAAACUGCAACGUGUGCUCCUUCUGGUGGGUUCUGCAUUCUUUCCUAGUGAAGUAUUGUGCAUGGAAAACCAGAAUAUAUGGUCAGCAUUCUUCCUAUAAACAGAGCAAUUGUACACUGCGGAGGAAUUACUUGGCGGUGACUGGGGGAGGUUGCCAUGGUAACUCUUCCCCAACCAUGUGGUCCCAGCGUGCUGCCUACGUGGAACGGGGCAGUUGGGUACCCGACUGACGUGUGGCUGCGGAGGCACUGGAGUCUUGCUUCUCUGUUUCCGGCCAGGACCUUGCAAGAGCGUGGCUCUUAUUUAUGAGACAGCUUGCCUUUGCGUUCUUAGCCACGGGGCCCUUCUGUCACGUGAAAUCACAUGUGGGGGUCCAGGAUGUGAAAUAGACG
rnacentral:lncRNA from 1 species